GUGACAGAAUAACGGGAAAUGAAGGCGGUGACGUAAGAUGCUUGUUGGCCGCUCAUUGGCGGAGAGCCGCGAGGGCACAAGCUAUACGCGAGGCAUCAAACGACAGAGUCGGUAAAAGUCGCCCGCCAAAGUUGACAGGACAAGAACAAGAAGAAUAACAACAAGACCAAGAAGAAUAACAACAAGAAAAAAGAGAACAACAAGAACAAGGGUUCCCUGAGACUCUGAGUCGAGGUCCCGCAACCGUUGCUUCCUUUUUGGCUCGCCGUUGAGAAAAUUGAAAGGCAUCCUAAAUGUCAUCUUUUGGAACGUCGGACAACCUUUUGGCUUUCGGCCUCUUCAUCCUUUUCCCCACUUGGUUCUCGAGCGUCGCCUCUGAGUCGAUGUUUGCAGUGGAGCCUAAGCCUAACCCCCAAACGCCAAGCAGGAUGCCAUCCACACCCAUACUCCAAGAGGCCCCCGCUCCACCCCCCAACUCCAGCUGACCCCGAGCAGCUCUUGAGAGGAUUUUGCACACUUGAAAGUGUCUCAACGGACCACGUACUGAGGCUCUCAGUGGACAUGGAUCCCUGUCUCUCUCACACAUGGCUGGAAUGCGGACACCAUUUCGUUGCGACUUCCCAGGCCCUCCUUGACCGACUGAUAAACAUUUCCUGCGACUGCCUCAUCACAGCACUGUGAACGGCGAUGUUCCGGAAACGUCUGGAAUCAGGCUGAAAUAAGGCGAAGCCGAAUUUGGUGUUCCCGUUCUCCAUUGUGGUGUCGCUCUUAUCACAUCUGCGCACGAAUAAAUGUUUUUGAAUUGCGUUUGUGGUGCAGGGCAAAGUCACCAAUCCGGCAAAUGUGCGUUCGUGUGUCCGUAGCAGAUAGCUGGCGGCCAGACAGGCCCUCACCGCCGGACCUUGUCUGCCUCUUGUGUUGUCACCGUGCACGUUUGCCAUGCGGGGGCACCCCAAAAUGAGUGCACCGCGUUUUGAGGGUAUUGAGCUGCCCUGCUUGUGAAGACGAGCGUAUUCACGGUUGCCGCUGGAGAACCUCGGCGAGACGUGUUUCAUGUCGAAGAAGCGCAGAUGUCGGAGCAAAGGCAGUCUGUUUUCCCAGAGAGCUCCAAAUUCAAGUUCACAAAGGAAAGCAGUGCUUGGACGGAAUUGCCAAGAGAGCCUCCAAAACUCUCCUAGGGGUCCCAUCGACGUUCUUAUCCGCUUAAGCAAAGUCCUUGAAGCAUUUGAUUAUGGAAAGCAACGCUGCCCGACAACAUUCCCAUGUGCCAGCAGACGAGGGAGACGGAGACGUGGAUGCCUCCCAUGGCCAUGGAGAGCCUCCAGAACCACCCGGGGGAGUCGUCAGGAGACUUUGGCUUCACAGACGACAACCAGGAAGACCAAGACCAGACGGUGAAAGACUACUACGAAGACUCGUACAAUGACGAGGAAGAUGAAGACUACGAGGAUGAGACGUCGGGGUCGGGCGACGCCAACGAGAGCAAGAGCGGACGUGUCUGGUUGCCGCCCACCGAGGGGGCAGAAACUGCCGGGCCAAUGUGCACUUUGAAAGCAAACGGCGCACAUUUGUUGAAGACGGUGUUGAGCAAACCAAAACGCAACCGAAAAUGCCAUCAUGGGGGAAUUGGCCUCUCUGUGCUCAAGUCGGCUGGGCAAGUGAAGCGCGUCUCAUUUGUAAUGUUGACAUUUGGAAUGAAAAGCCCCAACAAAGUGAGACCAGCAUUCUUCGGCGGUGACUUCAGGCCGGCGUCUGUUGAGUCGAUCGCUCGGAUUGCUGAGAGAUCGGGAUGCCCCCUAGACUCAUGCCAGUCCUAUUGCCAUUUGCCAGCAUCCCAAGGCAGACAACGGGAUUCCGGAGCGGUCUGGCCCUGCCGUCCACCACGACCCAGAGCCGGAGACUGCGCCGGACGACAAUGAGAUCCGUUCGGUGCGCAACAGUCCUCGCCUGGGCAGCCAGCUUCCGUCCAAUGUGCUGAUGUCACACGCCGCUGAAGGCGUCUUCACCAGGAUGGAAGUCCUCGCAGCACUAAUCUGCGGCGGUGGGGUGGCCCUGACGGUAGCGGUUUUGCUUGUGGUGCUGCUGCUUCACCGCAUGAAGAAAAAAGACGAGGGAAGCUACGAGCUGGUCAGGAAGCCCAUCUACACAAAGGCCCCCACCGC